GGUGGCGUGUGGUGCGGUGGCCGCCGAGCGCAUGCGCCCUGUGUGCCUGUGGCAGGCUUGGCGGCCUUUCGGAGCCGGCGGCUUUUUGCGGUCGUCGAGGGACUUUGGUGGCCUGUGAGACCGAGUUGCCGUGGUGACGGCCGGGCGUUGCGGCGUGUGACACCUGGAUGAGGGCUCGCUGGAGGAGAUUGGCGAGGCUGAGCGCUGGAGUUUCCACGGAGUAAAGCACUCAGACACGUACUAGGUGCUCAGUAAGCAUUGGGCUUGGAGCAGAGGAGACCUUCCUGUCCAUCUUCCCACAAUGCUACCAAUUCCAGCCUUCCCCAGGGAGGCUCAGGGGAUUCCGGUUUCCAAACCAGACAUGAUUUCCCGGCUACAGCCAGCAGAGGAACCAUGGAUGCUGAAAAGAGAAGUGCCAUGAGGUUUCUGUCCAGGCACCUCCACCCUGUUUUCCAAAGUGGCUGUACCAACUUGCAUUCCCACCCCAAAGACAGAGAUGUAGCGAAAAGAAGGGCCACACGCACCCCAGCGUUCAUAGCAGCAAUGUCCGCAGUAGCCAAACUGUGGAAAGAGCCGAGAUGCCCCUCAGCAGAUGAGUGGGUCAAGAAGAUGCGGUCCAUACCUACAAGUGGAAUAUGACUCAGCCCUCAGAAAGGAUGAACACCCGACUUUUACAUCCGCAUGGAUGGGACCAGAGGAGAGGAUGCUCAGUGAAAUAAGUCAAGCAGAGAAAGACCAUUAUCACAUGGUUUCACUUAUUUGUGGAACGUGAGGAAGAGCACGGAGGACAUCAGGAGAAGGAAGGGAAAA